ACAUACCCAUCGCUAGGCAGACAUACCCAUCGCUAGGCGGACAUACCCAUCGCUAGGCGGACAUACCCAUCGCUAGGCGGACAUACCCAUCGCUAGGCGGACAUACCCAUCGCUAGGCGGACAUACCCAUCGCUAGGCAGACAUACCCAUCGCUAGGCGGAGGAACCCAUCGCAUGAAACAAAAAAACGCCUUCCCACUGUCCUCCAUAUACAUCCAACUCUCAAAAUUACACGACUAAUUAGCAUUUAACUGUUAUUUCCUUCAUUAGCAGGAAGCUUGGUCAGGUUUUAAUUUGAAUGUAUCAGAGCAUAAACGUGGCCUAUACAUACGGGGACCACAUUACAGCCUCAAUGAACCUCCCAGCCAAUUAAAACAGCUCGUCACAGUACCUCUACCCUGUUACUAGUGUGGCACAUCCCCGGGAUCACAGACACUAACACACACUGUCAGACAUAUACACACACUCAUACACACACUGUCAGAGACACACACACUCAUACACUAACACACACACACACACACACACACACACACUGUCAGACACACACACACUCAUACACUAACACACACACACACACACACUGUCAGACACACACACACUCAUACACUAACAC
ensembl:lncRNA